rnacentral:rRNA from 1 species
UUUAAUAGUCGAACAGACUAGCUUGCUUAGCUACUACACUAGACAGCACCUUUAAUUCAACAUCGAGGUCACAAAAUCUUUUAUCAAUAUGGGCUCUCUAAAAGCAUUGUGCUGUUAUCCCUGAGGUAACUACUCUUUAACUUGUUGAAGAUCUUAGUCUGGCUAUAUAAAUUGACGUACAAACUAGAUGUGUUAGUUUACCGCCCCAGUUUGAUACAACAAAACCAAAGACCUAAAUUGUUUGGGCCUGAGACUCAGGCUUCAUCAGCUCUGCAGGGUCUUAUCUUCCCAUUGGUUGAACUUGAAGUUUUAAUCAAGGCCUUAAGUUACAAACUUAUAGGUUUACAAGUCGUCUUUCAUGAGCCCCUUCAUUCUAGACCCCAAUUAAAAGCCAAAUUAUUAUGCUACCUUUGCACAGUUAGGG